rnacentral:lncRNA from 1 species
AACUAAGAUUCAUAAAAGAAAGAAUGAGGCAUUUGUUCUGGAGAAGACCAGCAACUAGGAAGAACAGAUUUUUUUUCUUUUUCUUUUGGUAAUACUGCCUGAGGGCCCAAAGUGGUCAACCUUUGUCAUAAUUCAUUUGGCAGGCCCGUAAAGAUAGCUCAGUCAUUUAGUCUAACAAAAUAUUUUUUAGCAGUCAGGGUACAUACUUGAUUUGGAUCCAGGGACAAAUGGCUCUCCAAGGGCUUGCUGGCAGGUUGAUGACGCGAUGCAUCAACUGGAUGUAUCAGGACUUAAUAGUACUGAACCAUGGAGCACAUUUAAAAAGCUCACAUACGUUCUCAAAUAUCAUAGAAUAUAACAAAUUUCAUUGCCUUCAACUCAAAUGAUAUUUAGAAUAUGUGCUACAUCAGUCUUUCUGCUCCGGGAUUCAGUAAUGGUCCAAGGUUGUUGUCUUCUUUUCAAAUGUAAAAAGCUUAACUUGAAAUAUGGGUCAUUUAUCUUGGGCAUGGUUUGAAAUGGCAUAUAUUCGAUCAUGUUGUAAUACAUAAUAUCUUACAAUUUAACCAUAAAGGAAGUUACAGCCACACAUCAUUUUGUCCAAAAUCACUGAGAAUGGAGAUGCGCUACUUAAACACAUUUUCUUGAAUACCUUUCUUUUACUUUGAAAUCCUCCAAAAUUAUAAAACUAACUUUUACUCAUUCAGGCUUGAUUUAAACAGAAUCAGCUCCACAAUUGAGCUUCCUAAUGACUUAAAGUUUUUGUGUAAUUAGCUUUUUUAUUACUAAAGUCGGGGAAAGGAGCACUAAAGACAGUCUUACGGAUUUGUCUGGACCUACCUUCAACCUUCAGCACUUCAGAGUCAGAAGGUGUUGCUUUUGCCCUGCCUUCUUGUCAGUGAUUAUGCUUUCUUCUUUUUUGCUUACUCUGAUUUUUAUCUCAGAAAAUAGAUAUUAAACUUCUAAAUCUAAAAUUCCAAAAACAGAAAUACCAAUCCCAUUUAUGCUUUCUUCUUGAGUUAUGUCUCUUGUGGAGAUGGUUAAUUGGUGACCCUUCUCCUUUGCCCCCAUUCCCAAAAGAUAUGUCUACCUCUCAACCUGCAGAGCCUAUGAAUAUUGCCUUAUCCAGAAAAAGGGUCUUUGGAGAUAUAAUUAUGUUUCUUCAGAAGAGGAGCUUAUCUUGGAUUAUUCAAGUAGCUUCCAAAUGCAAUGACAGAUCUUUGUAAGAGAUGCAUAGAGGAGACAGAUGUACAGGAGGAAGCCAAGUGAAGACAGAGGCAAAGAUGAGUGAUCCAGUCACAAGCUUCUGACUGCCAUCAGAAGCUGGAAGAGGUGAGGAACAGAAUCUCCCCUAGAGCCUCUGCCUACACACUGAUUUAGUUUUUUUGUUUUGUUUUUAACUGUUUUGUUCUUUUUCUGUUUAGAGAUGGGGUCUCGCUAUGUUGCCCAGUCUGGUCUCAAACUCCUAGCCUCAAGUGAUCCUUCUCCCUUGGCCUCCCAAAGUGCUGGGAUUACAAGCAUGAGCCACGAUGGCUGGCCCUGAAUUUGGACUUCCGGCCAAAAAACUUUAUGGAGGCUUGUGUUGAUGUGGAGGUGCAGUGAUGUGGAAGUGGCCUGAGAUGCUGAGCUCACAGGUAGAGGACCGCACCCCCAAGAAAUCUCAGCAGAUUCAUUCAUAGCUGCUACACAUUCAUCUCUAUAUAAAACCUACUCUCCCCUCUGAAAAAGCAGCAUAACCAGUCAACGAACAAGUAUAUAGGAUUAGCACAUUAUGAAGAAUAAAGAGAAGCUUUCAGCUCUCCGUCAUGGAUGAUAUUUAUCACAUUUUCCACGACUGGCUCUAAUAACAGUGCAGAGAUAAAAUAGGCUUGAUGCAUCUUUCCUGUACAGAGAAUUUUACAACAGCAACUGUAAGAAAUUCAGGAGAUGAAACACUUCUCCCCUCUUGCAGUUUUUAUUAGUCUUAAAAAUGGGAGGUGGGUGUGUGGGGGAGACUGUUUCUACAAAAGUGGGCUUGAAUUUUCUGUCUGUUAUGCUAAUGUAUUCAUAGAAAAAGCUGGUGCUGAGGGCGGUUCUCCAAUUAAGACAAAUGAGGCACAUUGAAUUUCUCCCCCAGGGCACAGCAGGGGUGCUGGCAAAAUCUACUUUAUUCUUUUCUGUCAGGACUGAACUGGAAACAAAAGCAUGAAAAUUCAACACAUCCACUUACAGAAUAAUAAAGGCUGUUGUUUAAAGCGUGAAGAGUUUUGGCACCCUUCUGGGGCCUUAUGCAAAUCGCUCUUCCUCUCAACUGCUACCACACCAUCGGUCUUGGAAAUUAAAGAUGUACUUGGUCGGUUAACAGCUGAAAGGAGAAGAGCAGCCUGAAACUCAAUUAGAUUUGUAUUAAGCAAAUAAAUCAGGACUGACUGAUAUUGGCUAAACUAAAAUGCAUUAUGGGCUGACAGUAAUUCUAAUUUGAUGGACAAAUAUAUGUAGUGUGUUAUUAACCUAAAUGAAAGAUGAGAAUCCUUUUUUUUUCUUUUUAAAGGAUUUUGUUCUAGUAAACAAUCCGCUCUCCCUCUGAACUUACACAAAACAAUAAACAGAGACUACUGGUAUGGUUCUGUUUACAAUCCAUGCUCAAGAACACAGGAAAUCUAUUUUCUAUUACGUGGUUAGAGUUUGAGACAAAAUUAUUGUGCUGAAAGACAUUUGUUUUUAUCGAUUUAUUUGGUGUAAUGUAACAUCUCAACACAUUAUUUAUUUGGUACACCAAGCACGCUAUUUUUAUUAUGGUGAGUAACACAAAAGCAUAGACCUGGUAUAUGUCUCAUUAUUUAUUCGGAACCCUGUAGUAUAGGAGGCUUUUCCACACCAGGGCACAUACAAAGGGGCCUCAAAUAUGGUUCAAAGUCAUAAAUGAAGAUUUCAAUAAAAUCCUCCAAAGCUUUGAGGAAAACAAAAAACACUCAACAAAUAGCAUAAACGUGUUGGUGUGUGUGGUUGGAUAAGACAUUUCCUUUGAAAGAAGAGUUUUGGGAGUUUCAACUUACUUCCUUGUCUUUGCUGUUUACACCUUUAGAACUUACAGAAAUGGCCAGGUGUGGUGGCUCACACCUGUAAUCACAGCACUUUGAGAGGCUGAGGCAGGAGGAUGGGUUGAACACAGGAGUUUGAGAUCAGUCUGGGCAACAUGGAGAAAUCCUCAUCUUUAAAACAUACUUUUUGACAAACUUAGCCACGCUUGGUGGCACAUGCCUGUGGUCCCAGCCACUCAGGAGGUUGAGGCAGAGGAUUGCUUGAGCUUAGCAGUUCGAGGUCGCAGUCAACUAUGAUCACACCACUGCAAUCUAGCCUGGGCAACAGAAUGAGACCCUGUCUCAAAAACAACAACGAGAAAAACCUUACAGAGAUUUAGGUCAUUACAUUUAACAUCCUGCUAAAUUAAUAAUUAACUAGUAACUUAAUACUUUUGCUUUGGUUGUAACUAUGUUCUAUUUUCGUCACCUUUUCCUUCUGGCUAUCAGAUUAAAGACUCAUUGACUCACUGUUGUCUUUCAAUUAUCUUUCCUUCUACAUUUCCUACCUGGCUCUUCUUGCCAAAUCCUGCUGCGUUUUGCUCUGCAUAGGUGCCAGAAAUUGUCUAUUUCUCCCCUUCAAAACUUGUCCAAACCUUUGCCCCUGUGUGGGCAGCUUCCUGCCGCAGCUCUUGCCAGUACCUGUUCUCAUAUCUCCUUGUUGGGGCUCAGAAAGCAACACCCCAAAACAUGGUGCUUUGGCACUGCUGAGCACUUUGAACUGGAGAUCAGAAGGCCUUAGAAGCUGCUUCAGAAGCAAAAUCUCUGACCUUCUCCUGUUCUCUCGUCCUCUCCCUCUCCUUCUCCUCCAAAACAAGUUAUAGAGUCUAGAAUUUCUCUUCCCCAAGGCAGGUUAUAGAAACUAGAUCUCCUCUCCCCAAAAAGCAAGCCAUAAAGAAGACCCUCAUUCCAAAGGAGUCCUUCCCUGUAGCCAGGAGGAAGGAAUGCCACACAGAGAGGCCAAGGUGAAUUGGAACAGACAGGGAUUGCUGGGUUUUCACCCCUACAGUCUAUUACCACUAGAUCAUUCCCUUUGUCCAGUCACAUUUCUACGUGGCUGUCUAUUCUUCAUUGAAUCUAAGCAUAAAAACAGACAAUUUUCCCUCAGUCUUUGACUCCUCAUAUCUCAAAGUUUGAGAUAUGAAGACUCAAUCUUUGUCAUGUAAAACUUGAUUAUAUCAAGUAACUUUGUUAUGCCUUUUUUUUUUGAGUUGGAGUCUCGCUGUGUCGCCCAGGCUGGAGUGCUGUGGCGCGAUCUCGGCUCACUGCAAGCCUCGCCUCCCAGGUUCACGCCAUUCUCCUGCCUCACCUCCCGAGUAGCUGGGACUACAGGCACCCGCCACCACACCUGGCUAAUUUUUUUGUAUUUUUAGUAGAGACGGGGUUUCACUGUGUUAGCCAGUGUGGUCUCGAUCUCCUGACCUCAUGAUCCGCCCGCCUUGGCCACCCAAAGUGCUGGGAUUACAGGUGUGAGCCACUGUGCCCAGCCUGUUACGCCUUUUUCUGGUUAAGCUUCCCCCACUCCCCACCUUUUUUUUUGUUUCAGAGGGUAUAUGUGCAGAUGUAUUACAUGGGUAUAUUGUGUGAUGCUGAGAUUUAGGGUACAGAUGGUCUUGUCACCCAGGCAGUGAGCAUAGUACCCAAUAGGUGGUUUUUCAGCCCACGCCCCCUUCCCUUCUCCUUCUAGUAGUCCUCAGUGUCUAUUGUUCCCUUCUUUGUGUCCAUGUGUACUCAAUGUUUAGCUCCUACUUGUGAGAACACACAGUAUUUGUUUUUCUGUUCCUGUGUUAAUUCAUUAAUUCACAUAGGAUAAUGGCCUUCAGCUGUAUCCAUGUUGCAAACGACAUGAUUUUUUUCUUUCUUAUGGCUGUGUAGUAUUCCAUGGUAUAUAUGUACUGUCUUUUGUUAUAGGAGUGUUGGCCAUGACCCUUAUGAUGGAUGAGGAAAGGGAUCAUACCUUUCUGUCCCACAUCCUCUACUGAACAUAUCAAAGAUUCUUGGCCAAAACCAAUUUUCCCUGACACUCUGUCUCAACUGUUCUUUCCCAUUAUAAUUGGUGUUGAUAUGGACAGGAGGCAGAGAAAUACUAGGUAGAAAAGGGUGGGGCUUCUGGCAAGUGUUCUACCCCCAAGCCUGGACCCACGUCCCUAAAUGAGAACUUCACAUCCCUGUUUUUCUGCGCAAAUAUUACCUUAUGUGCUGCCACCCUCACAUCCUGUGUCCAUAAAAACUCCAAGCUCCACUGGCAGAGGAGCCCAGUGGUGUGGCAGAAAAGGAGAGAAGAGAAGAGGCAGCUGGACAUUGGAGACUACAGUCAGAGAGGAGUUUGGCUGUCUCCAGCUGAACUCCAGGGGAAGAUUAUCUUCCUACUCCAUCCCCUUUCCAGCUCCCCAUCCUACUGAGAGCCACUUCCACUGCUCAAUAAAAUCUCCACAUUGAUUAUCCUUCAAGUCUGUGUGAACUGAUUCUUCCUGGAUGCUGGACAAGAACCCAGGUACCAAGAGGGCAGGGUGUAAAAGCCUGUCACCCUGAUCCUCCACUGACCUGGUUUAACACUUAGCCAUCUGUGGAUGGCAAAUGCUAAAAGAUCAUUGUAAGACAUGCCCUCUGGGGCUCUAGAGGUCACUAGCAACCCCUAGACACUGCCAUGGGCCAGUACCAGGUUCGUUCCUUGCUCCUGCACCUGCCAACCUGCAAGCUUCCCCUCCUGUAAGGAGUUUGAGUGCGGUGGCCGAGCAAAGGAGACACCCCUGUUGCAAGUCCCAUGAGGGGGUCAAGGGAACUCUCCCGUCUCAAUAUUCCUCACUGAUAAUGAGAGCAAAGAACACCAUAGAAUGAGACUUCAUGAAUUGCCAUCAAGUUUUGCACACAGUUACUUUCAUCCCAGAUUAAAGUCUCUCUUUUUAGCUUUUCCAACAGUUGUCAUCUCAGACCACUCAACUGCUGCUCUCACUUCUCUCUUCUCCUUCCUCUGCAGAGCUGGCCAUACUCUUUUUUUUUUUGUCACUCUUUUUUUGUUACAUUUUUGCUUGCUUUCUUGUCAUUUCCUUUAAAAUUCAUCAACAAAAUUAGUUUAUUAAACUUUGAUAUCCAUCCCAGUACUCAUAUAUAAUUUGAUAGUGACAAUCCUUCCACUUAUUGUGAGUUUAGAAUAACUUUGUUCUAUAAUAUUGAUUAGGUUCAGGGCACACUAACCCAAAAUAUGGCACCUUGGCAUAUUGAAUAUUUUAAGCUGAAAGAAUCUGAGAAAUUCCCUAUGCUGGAAGGACUUUCUGACUUUCCCUAAAGCAGGUCAUGUGAGAGGUGCCCUCCUUAUACCUGGAGGAAAGGAGCAUCCAUAUCUCCAAAGACACAGGGAUGCUGAGAGGAAUCUGAAUGGACAAGCCUUGUCGUUUCUCCUAGUUUAUUAUAAUUAGCACAUGCCCAUUUUAUGCUAUCAUAUUUCCCCAUGACCGUCUACUCUUCAUCAAACCUAGCAUAAAGCAACCCAGUUUUAAGCACUUCUUUGGGUCUUCAUUUCCUAUUGAAGGCUCCAGUGUCACGCAAAACAUACACAUUUCUAUGAUUCUUUCUUUCUGUCUUUUGUUCCAGGGGCCCCAGCCAAUGAACCUAAAAUGAGUAAAAGAUAAAGAUGUUUUUCUCCUCCCCAACAAUAUUUGAUUAAUGCUUUUUCAGGUUUCAGACUUUUAGUUAACAUUCUGUAUUGUGAGAUUACUUUUAAAAAAUGAGAUUCAAUCUAAUUUCUUAAAUAAACUUGUGUAUACCUCUUUGGUUGUUCAUUUUGGUUUUUUAUUCCAUUUAGGAACAGUAAUGUCAUAGACUUUUGACAUUCACUGGAUGCCCAUUCAAUGGGCCUUCAUAAAUCUCAAUAAUUUUUUUUCAUUUUAAAAAAUCAUGAUAAAACACAUACGACGUAAACUUUACCAUUGUAACCAUUUUUAAGUAUACAAUUCAGUGGCAUUAAGAACAUUCACAAUGUUGUAUGAUGUGGUUCAGAACACACUGCCCCAAAAUAUGGCACUUUGGCAUAUUGAGUAUUUUAAACUGAAGGAAUUUGAGAAAUAGGUGCUAGAAGGACUCUCUGACCUCCUGUUUUUCCCUUGAAGCAGAUCCCAAGACCCUCAUGUAAGAGGUGCCCUUGCUAUACUCAGAGGAAAAGAGCAUCCCUACCUCUGAAGAGGGAGGGAUGCCGAGAGGAAUCUGAAUGAACAGGGCUUGUUGUUUUCCCCAGAUUACUACCCUUAGCUCAUAGCCUUUGUCCUAUUACAUUUUUCCAUGACUUUUUACUCUUCCUCAAAUCUAGUAGAAAAAUGCACAGGCUUAACUGUUGCUUUGUCUUCAUUUCCUUAUAAAGUUUCCUUGGCCACAUAAAACUUACAUUAAAUAAAUUUUUACAUAUUUUUUCUUGUUAAUCUGUCUUUCGUUAGUCUAAUUUACAGGGUCCCAGUCAGAUAACCUAAAAGGAUAGAGACAAAGGAUAUUUUUUUUCUCUCCUAC